GUGGGGAAUCUUGCGCAAUGGCCGAAAGGCUGACGCAGCGACGCCGCGUGUGGGAGGAAGCCCUUCGGGGUGUAAACCACUGUUGCCCGGGACGAACGGCGGGGAAUGCCCCGCGUGACGGUACCGGGUGAGGAAGCACCGGCUAACUCCGUGCCAGCAGCCGCGGUAAUACGGAGGGUGCGAGCGUUGUCCGGAAUCACUGGGCGUAAAGGGCGCGUAGGCGGCUUCUCAAGCGUGUGGUGAAAGUCCGGGGCUCAACCCCGGAUCGGCCGUGCGGACUGGGGAGCUCGAGUUCUGUAGAGGCGGGUGGAAUUCCGGGUGUAGCGGUGGAAUGCGUAGAGAUCCGGAAGAACACCGGUGGCGAAGGCGGCCCGCUGGGCAGAGACUGACGCUGAGGCGCGACAGCGUGGGGAGCAAACAGGAUUAGAAACCCCUGUAGUCC
rnacentral:rRNA from 1 species